rnacentral:rRNA from 1 species
GACGAACGCUGGCGGCGUGCUUAACACAUGCAAGUCGAACGGAAAGGCCCUGCUUUUGUGGGGUUCUCGAGUGGCGAACGGGUGAGUAACACGUGAGUAACCUGCCCUUGACUUUGGGAUAACUUCAGGAAACUGGGGCUAAUACCGGAUAGGAUCUCCUGCUGCAUGGUGGGGGUUGGAAAGUUUCGGCGGUUGGGGAUGGACUCGCGGCUUAUCAGCUUGUUGGUGGGGUAGUGGCUUACCAAGGCUUUGACGGGUAGCCGGCCUGAGAGGGUGACCGGGCACAUUGGGACUGAGAUACGGCCCAGACUCCUACGGGAGGCAGCAGUGGGGAAUAUUGCACAAUGGGCGGAAGCCUGAUGCAGCAACGCCGCGUGCGGGAUGACGGCCUUCGGGUUGUAAACCGCUUUCGCCUGUGACGAAGCGUGAGUGACGGUAAUGGGUAAAGAAGCACCGGCUAACUACGUG